CUUUCUGACCUCACACCUGCCUUUUUCCAGAUUGCACAGAGGAAAGGGGAAAGAAGAUGCACCAUUACUAGCAUUCUUAGGAUCAUGUUGGAAGCCUCUAUCCCUUAUGCAGAAGAUAGAGAUCCUGAGAUGGAACCCUCUCUUCAGCCAAGUCAACUUCAGCCAGGAAGCCCAGAGAAGAGGGAGGAAGAGAGAAAGAGCAUCCACUUUAUUACCUGUCAUCUGAACCAACCUGACUGUCAGGGGGUUAACAAUGUGCAGCCAGGUUACAAGUCCAUGAAGAACUUGCUCCUCCCCCCCCCAACCCCUACUUUGCAGCUUCCCUUUGUUAUGGGAGUUUUGGCAAGUAGAGAGGCAGGGUAGAGAAACUGCAGACACUUAGGGUUUCCCAGAAACUAAUAAAUCCAACUUUAUAUAAUUUCAUUGACUUAA